CCACUACAGUGCCCAGCCCACCAGACAGUGAGCUGGUCCACUCAGCUGAUCCACUGAGUGGACCAGAAGAGGGGAGGAAGGAUAUGUCUCCUCUAGAGGUGCAUCAGGAUCUUUGGGUUUUCAGAUAGAGACACCAGUGUGAAGUGGGGCUGCAUUUUUCAUGAUGCUUUCAAGGAUUUCAAGUUUCCAAAGUAACAACUGUGCAUCUUCUCCUCCGGUUAGCAAAGAAUCAUCCUGCAUAUUCCAAGA